rnacentral:rRNA from 1 species
GUAAACCAAGGUAGUAACCCAGCCCACUGCCCGCCAGAAUAUUACAAGUGAAAAACUUAAAACUCAAAGGACUUGACGGUGUCCCAUGCCACACUAGAGGAGCCUGUCCUAUAAUCGAUAACCCACGCUCUACCCAACCUGUACUUGCACAAACCAGCCUAUAUACCGCCGCCUUCAGCCCACCUUUCAAAAGUAACAGCAGUGGGCCAAACAGCCAACCCGCUAAAACGUCAGGUCAAGGUGUAGCUAACGAACAGGGUGAGAUGGGCUACAUUUUCUAACCACAGACCACACCAACAGCAACAUGAAACAUUCGCCAAAAGGCGGAUUUAGCAGUAAGUGUGGGUAAGACUACCCAACUGAACCCUG